CCUACGGGCGGCAGCAGUGAGGAAUAUUGGUCAAUGGACGAGAGUCUGAACCAGCCACGUAGCGUGAAGGAUGACUGCCCUAUGGGUUGUACACUUCUUUUAUCUGGGAAUAAAAUGUUCCACGUGUGGGAUUUUGUAUGUACCAUAUGAAUAAGGAUCGGCACACUCCGUGCCAGAAGCCGCGGUAAUACGGAGGAUCCGAGCGUUAUCCGGAUUUAUUGGGUUUAACGGGAGCGGAGGUGGAUUGUUAAGUCCAUUGUGAAAGUUUGCGGCUCAACCGUAACAGUGCAUUUGAAACUGGCAGUCUUGAGUACAGUAGAGGUGGGCGGAAUUCGUGGUGUAGCGGUGAAAUGCUUAGAUAUCACGAAGAACUCCGAUUGCGAAGGCAGUUCACUGGACUGCAACUGACACUGAGGCUCGAAAGUGUGGGUAUCAAACAGGAUUAGAUACCCGAGUAGUC
rnacentral:rRNA from 1 species